rnacentral:rRNA from 1 species
UAGGGAAUCUUCCGCAAUGGGCGAAAGCCUGACGGAGCAACGCCGCGUGAGUGAUGAAGGUCUUCGGAUCGUAAAACUCUGUUAUUAGGGAAGAACAAAUGUGUAAGUAACUAAGCACGUCUUGACGGUACCUAAUCAGAAAGCCACGGCUAACUACGUGCCAGCAGCCGCGGUAAUACGUAGGUGGCAAGCGUUAUCCGGAAUUAUUGGGCGUAAAGCGCGCGUAGGCGGUUUUUUAAGUCUGAUGUGAAAGCCCACGGCUCAACCGUGGAGGGUCAUUGGAAACUGGAAAACUUGAGUGCAGAAGAGGAAAGUGGAAUUCCAUGUGUAGCGGUGAAAUGCGCAGAGAUAUGGAGGAACACCAGUGGCGAAGGCGACUUUCUGGUCUGUAACUGACGCUGAUGUGCGAAAGCGUGGGGAUCAAACAGG